UACGAAGGGUGCAAGCGUUAAUCGGAAUUACUGGGCGUAAAGGGUGCGUAGGCGGUUUGUUUAAGUCUGUCGUGAAAUCCCCGGGCUCAACCUGGGAAUGGCGAUGGAUACUGGGCAGCUAGAGUGUGUCAGAGGAUGGUGGAAUUCCCGGUGUAGCGGUGAAAUGCGUAGAGAUCGGGAGGAACAUCAGUGGCGAAGGCG
rnacentral:rRNA from 1 species